rnacentral:misc_RNA from 1 species
AACGCACAUUGCGCCCCCUGGUAUUCCGGGGGGCAUGCCUGUCCGAGCGUCAUUGCUGCCCUCAAGCACGGCUUGUGUGUUGGGCCCCGCCCCCCGGCUCCGGGGGGCGGGCCCGAAAGGCAGCGGCGGCACCGCGUCCGGUCCUCGAGCGUAUGGGGCUUCGUCACCCGCUCCGUAGGCCCGGCCGGCGCCCGCCGGCGACCCCCCUCAAUCUUUCUCAGGUUGACCUCGGAUCAGGUAGGGAUACCCGCUGAACUUAA